rnacentral:rRNA from 1 species
UGGGGAAUAUUGCACAAUGGGCGAAAGCCUGAUGCAGCGACGCCGCGUGAAGGAAGACGUAUUUCGGUAUGUAAACUUCUAUCAGCAAGGAAGAAAAAAGACGGUACUUGACUAAGAAGCCCCGGCUAAAUACGUGCCAGCAGCCGCGGUAAUACGUAUGGGGCAAGCGUUAUCCGGAUUUACUGGGUGUAAAGGGAGCGUAGGUGGCAUGGUAAGUCAGAUGUGAAAGCCCGGGGCUCAACCCCGGGAUUGCAUUUGAAACUACCAAGCUAGAGUGCAGGAGAGGUAAGUGGAAUUCCUAGUGUAGCGGUGAAAUGCGUAGAUAUUAGGAGGAACACCAGUGGCGAAGGCGGCUUACUGGACUGUAACUGACACUGAGGCUCGAAAGCGUGGGGAGCAAACAGGAUUAGAUACCCCCGUAGUCC